ensembl:misc_RNA Metazoa_SRP Metazoan signal recognition particle RNA
GCCAGGUGUGGUGGUGCGCGCCUGUAAUCCCAGCUUUUGGGAGGCUGAGGCAGGAGAAUUGCUUGAACCCAGGAGGUGGAGGUUGCAGUGAGCCUAGAUUAAGCCACUGCACUCCAGUCUGGAUGACAAAGCAAGACUCUGUCUCUA